AUUCAACAUUCUUAUAUCAUAUCUCUGUUCCAACAAAGCAAUGUUGAUUAUAUCAAUCUGCCAAAGCGACGCCAAAGUUCGUGUAGAACAAUGAGACAGUCUAUAUUUAUGAGUGAUCAUAAUAUAUGAAUUUUAGUCAAAGCUAAAACGAAGCCAGAGUUCAUGUAGAACACUAAAGACGGUCUAUUAUUUAUAUCGUUCAUUAUGCCUGGAAUUUGGUCAAAGACAAAGCGAAGCCAAAGCUCAGGCAGAACAUUAAGUUGGUUAUUAUUUACGUAUGUUCAUAAUACAUGAAUUUUGGUCAAAGCCAAAGCGAAGCCAAAGUUCAUGUAGAAAAAUAAGUCAGUCUAUUAUGUAUAUUCAUAAAGCAUAAAUUUUGGUCAAAGCAAAAGCGAAGCCAAAUUUAUUUAGAACAUCAAGACAAUCUGUUAUUUAUGUACGUUCAUAAUGUCUGAAUUUUGGUCAAAGCCAAAGCGAAGCCAAAAUUCAGGUAGAACCUUAAAUUAGUCUGUUAUUUUGGUGUUAUAGUAGACUAUAUCUUCAAUAUAAUAAUUUGUGUCUGCCUUACUUGAUUACCUCAUAAUGUAAAUCACUCCAAGUUUCUUCUUAGGAUUGUAUCUCAUCUAUUUUAUCCACUCUAAU
rnacentral:lncRNA from 1 species